rnacentral:rRNA from 1 species
GACGAACGCUGGCGGCGUGCUUAACACAUGCAAGUCGAACGGUGAAGCGCCUUCCUUUUUGGUGGGUGUGGAUGGGUGGCGAACGGGUGAGUAACACGUGAGUAACCUGCCCCCUUCUUCUGGAUAACGGCAUGAAAGUGAGGCUAAUACGGGAUAUUCUGUGUCUGUCGCAUGAUGGGUCUGGGAAAGAUAUUGUUUCGGUGGGGGAUGGGCUCGCGGCCUAUCAGCUUGUUGGUGGGGUGAUGGCCUACCAAGGCGGUGAGUGGUAGCCGGCCUGGGAGGAUGGACGGUCACACUGGGACUGAGACACGGCCCAGACUCCUACGGGAGGCAGCAGUGAGGAAUAGUGCACAAUGGGCGGAAGCCUGAUGCAGCGACGCCUCGGGAGGGAUGGAGGCCUUCUGGUUGUGAACCUCUUUCGCCAGUGAAGCAGGCCUGCCUCGUAUGUGGGUGGGUUGACGGUAGCUGGAUAAGAAGCGCCGGCUAACUACGUG